rnacentral:misc_RNA from 1 species
CAAUCAUCAAUCCAAAUAUAUUAUAAAGGUAGUUACAAUGUGAGUUCUGAAAUGUGAACAGUAAAUGGUAUGAUUAGUAAUAGAUUUGAAUUUGGUUGUUACAAGUAAAAUAUUAGAAUGAAUGUAUUACAUUGAAUUUUUGUGGAAAUGGUUACCGUAAAUAUAAUGUGGUAAGCUUUUGGUGGAAACUGUGUUUAAUGAAAUCUUCAAAGGAUCUCCAUUGGAUUCUUCAAGUAUAACUAAAAGAUUUGCUGAGGUAUUAUUAAGAAAUGCUCGAGGAACAUGGUACCAUGUUUGUGAAGGAUGGCCUUUGGAUGUGAGAAAUGAAAUCCAAUAGCGACCUAUGCUUUGUCCGUUGACCCAUGCUUGGCCUUUGCCCAUUGUGGUAAGGUUUAAUAUCACUGGAUCAUUUCCUUCUGGUGCCUCAAAUUCUGUCUUAAACCAAGUAAGGGGCUGAGCAGUGGAGAGAUCAGCUUUCCUCCAAUCAACACUAUCCAAAAGUUCCUCUCUGUAUAUCUGUAUGUUCUCUCCAACCAGCCCUACCUGAUAUCCCCACUGGUAAUUAGUCGUAAAGUUGUACAAAUCCUUUUCUUCAGUGCAUUGAAUUUCCACUCUUGUUAAUCCAGCAUAUCUCUUCUCCAGAAAAGCUCCCGAAUCCGGUAGUCCAACCAUAACACUCAGAAUAGAAAUAUUAUUGGUCAUUCCGUUGUCGUUUAAGACUAUCUUCACUUCCAUAAUAAAUGGGCCCUUUCCAUUUUUACUUCCAUGAGCUGAUCCUGCAUAUUUGUUGUUGACAAAAGCAUAUGCAACAUGAGCAAGAGACUCCACAUGGAGUAGAGGUUGAGUGCAAGAGGAAGUCGGUUGAAAGCUGAAAGUAUACCAAAGAUAAUCAGAUUUAUCUUUGGUUGUAUUCAUGUGCUCCAACAAAGUUUUGGAUCUUAUUGCGGUAUCUAAGUAGUUGGGGAUAACAUCUGUGUAUUUUUCCCACUUAUCAACACCAUUCAUUUUGCAAGUUGAUGUCAUGAUUCUCUUGUUGGACUCGACGUUUACCUUGGCAGUGUUGAAGAGUAUAUUUUGACAGUCCGGUAAAAUACUAAUCGAUUUAGGAAGCAACUCGUAUGAUUUAUUUCUAAAUUCAACAGUUGCAUUGUUUGAAUUAUUAUUGACAAGAAAUGCAGCGCAUCCUCCUCCUUGUGUCUCGAAAACAUAUGCCUGUUGAAGUGGACCCAAGGAGAGAUUAGUUUGUGCUCCCUCUAGUAAAGUUGAAGAGCAAGACUUGAUUACAGAAUGCAGCUCCUUUAGAUGGCCCCAUUUGGGUUGCCUAAUUAAACCAUAUUCAUCAAUGGGAGCUUGAUCGUAAUAACCUGUUAUGACAUAAGCUGAUGCUGUUCUGCCGAAAUUCGUUCCACCAUGAUACAUGUAAUAG